rnacentral:rRNA from 1 species
AUUGAACGCUGGCGGCAGGCCUAACACAUGCAAGUCGAGCGGAGCGGAGGACGGGUGAUUAAUGCCUAGGAAUCUGCUUGGUAGUGGGGGAAAACGUCCGGACACGGGCGCUACUACCGCAUACUAUUAGAUGAGCCUAGGUCGGAUUAGCUAGUUGGUGGGGUCAAGGCCUACGAUGGCGACGAUCCGUAACUGGUCUGAGAGGAUGAUCAGUCACACUGGAACUGAGACUGGGUCCAGACUCCGACGGGAGGCAGCAGUGGGGAAUAUUGGACAAUGGGCGAAAGCCUGAUCCAGCCAUGCCGCGUGUUGGAAGAAGGUCUUCGGAUUGUAAAGCACUUUAAGUUGGGAGGCGUUACCAUCAGAAUAAGCACCGGCUAACUUCGUGCCAGCAGCCGCGGUAAUAC